rnacentral:lncRNA from 1 species
GGGGGCUCUUCCUUCUGAGUGCCCACCCCCGUGUUCCUGCAGGAGCUCUGCUCGGAGCCAACUCUCUUCCCCUGCCCCCUUGCAGAGGGUCCCACAUGUGAGGCCUCUAAGAAGCUCUCCUUGGAGGAGGUCAGCUGCUUGAGCUGGUCACAGACACCUGACCCAUCUUCCCCUCCAUGGACGCCUGCAUGUCCUCCAUGAGCUCCACCUUCCACAGCUUCCCACCCGCCUCCGUCUGCGGCACCGUGGGAUCCGAGCUCAGGGCAGAGGUCCGGAUGGGAGAUAUGAACAUGGGCGCUGCCGGCACUGGAUGGACUUUACCUUCUGGAGCCGCCCAGACCAACCAGGAAGUGAGCCCAGAGAGAGAAGACGCAAGUCGCGGAAACUAAGAGAAGAAACGCUCCAGGGAGGAGGGAACGCUCAGUUGUGGCAAAUACUGCCGAGAGGUGUGGACUUACUUCCACGGCCCUCUGCCUGCUCAUCACUGCUGGCUCCUGUUACUGCCCAAGCUGAUGCACACGGAGACCGGAAAGAGACCCCCUGAGCGUGCAAGCAUGUGUGUACAGUUCCAGACCCGCCCUGCUCCUGAGUGAUGGAUUUAUCUGGUUUUAG